AACGCGUGGCGGCGUGCCUAAUACAUGCAAGUCGAACGGUCUUUCUAUGGAAGCUUGCUCCACUGAGAAGAUAGUGGCGAACGGGUGAGUAACACGUGGGUAACCUGCCCAUAAGAGGGGGAUAACAUCCGGAAACGGGUGCUAAUACCGCAUAGUUUUCUUGAUCGCAUGAUCGGGAAAGGAAAGACGGCCUUUGUGCUGUCGCUUAUGGAUGGACCCGCGGCGUAUUAGUUAGUUGGUGAGGUAACGGCUCACCAAGACGAUGAUACGUAGCCGACCUGAGAGGGUGAUCGGCCACAUUGGGACUGAGACACGGCCCAAACUCCUACGGGAGGCAGCAGUAGGGAAUCUUCCGCAAUGGACGAAAGUCUGACGGAGCAACGCCGCGUGAGUGAAAGAAGGUUUUCGGAUCGUAAAACUCUGUUGUCAGAGAAGAACAAGUUGGAGAGUAACUGCUCCAGCCUUGACGGUAUCUGACCAGAAAGCCACGGCUAACUACGUGCCAGCCGCCGC
rnacentral:rRNA from 1 species